CGGCGUGCCUAAUACAUGCAAGUCGAACGCUUCUUUUCCCACCGGAGCUUGCUCCACCGGGAAAAGAGGAGUGGCGAACGGGUGAGUAACACGUGGGUAACCUGCCCAUCAGAAGGGGAUAACACUUGGAAACAGGUGCUAAUACCGUAUAACAAUCGAAACCGCAUGGUUUCGUUUUGAAAGGCGCUUUACUGCCGCUGAUGGAUGGACCCGCGGUGCAUUAGCUAGUUGGUGAGGUAACGGCUCACCAAGGCCACGAUGCAUAGCCGACCUGAGAGGGUGAUCGGCCACAUUGGGACUGAGACACGGCCCAAACUCCUACGGGAGGCAGCAGUAGGGAAUCUUCGGCAAUGGACGAAAGUCUGACCGAGCAACGCCGCGUGAGUGAAGAAGGUUUUCGGAUCGUAAAACUCUGUUGUUAGAGAAGAACAAGGGUGAGAGUAACUGUUCACCCCUUGACGGUAUCUAACCAGAAAGCCACGGCUAACUACGUGCCAGCAGCCGCGGUAAUACGUAGGUGGCAAGCGUUGUCCGGAUUUAUUGGGCGUAAAGCGAGCGCAGGCGGUUUCUUAAGUCUGAUGUGAAAGCCCCCGGCUCAACCGGGGAGGGUCAUUGGAAACUGGGAGACUUGAGUGCAGAAGAGGAGAGUGGAAUUCCAUGUGUAGCGGUGAAAUGCGUAGAUAUAUGGAGGAACACCAGUGGCGAAGGCGGCUCUCUGGUCUGUAACUGACGCUGAGGCUCGAAAGCGUGGGGAGCAAACAGGAUUAGAUACCCUGGUAGUCCACGCCGUAAACGAUGAGUGCUAAGUGUUGGAGGGUUUCCGCCCUUCAGUGCUGCAGCUAACGCAUUAAGCACUCCGCCUGGGGAGUACGACCGCAAGGUUGAAACUCAAAGGAAUUGACGGGGGCCCGCACAAGCGGUGGAGCAUGUGGUUUAAUUCGAAGCAACGCGAAGAACCUUACCAGGUCUUGACAUCCUUUGACCACUCUAGAGAUAGAGCUUCCCCUUCGGGGGCAAAGUGACAGGUGGUGCAUGGUUGUCGUCAGCUCGUGUCGUGAGAUGUUGGGUUAAGUCCCGCAACGAGCGCAACCCUUAUUGUUAGUUGCCAUCAUUUAGUUGGGCACUCUAGCAAGACUGCCGGUGACAAACCGGAGGAAGGUGGGGAUGACGUCAAAUCAUCAUGCCCCUUAUGACCUGGGCUACACACGUGCUACAAUGGGAAGUACAACGAGUCGCGAAGUCGCGAGGCUAAGCUAAUCUCUUAAAGCUUCUCUCAGUUCGGAUUGUAGGCUGCAACUCGCCUACAUGAAGCCGGAAUCGCUAGUAAUCGCGGAUCAGCACGCCGCGGUGAAUACGUUCCCGGGCCUUGUACACACCGCCCGUCACACCACGAGAGUUUGUAACACCCGAAGUCGGUGAGGUAACCUUUUGGAGCCAGCCGCCUAAGGUGGGAUAGAUGAUUGGGGUGAAG
rnacentral:rRNA from 1 species